AUACAUGCAAGUCGGACGGGAUUGAAGAGCUUGCUUUUCAUGAGAGUGGCGCACGGGUGCGUAACACGUAUGUAACCUACCUUUAUCAGGGGGAUAGCCUCUCGAAAGAGAGAUUAAGCCCGCAUAAAAUCACAGAGCAGCAUUGCUUAAUGAUCAAAUAUUUAUAGGAUAAAGAUGGGCAUGCGGAACAUUAGCUAGAUGGCGGGGUAACGGCCCACCAUGGCCACGAUGUUUAGGGGAUCUGAGAGGAUGGCCCCCCACACUGGUACUGAGACACGGACCAGACUCCUACGGGAGGCAGCAGUAAGGAAUAUUGGUCAAUGGGCGGAAGCCUGAACCAGCCAUGCCGCGUGCAGGAAGACGGCCCUACGGGUUGUAAACUGCUUUUAUACGGGAAUAAACCUUGAUACGUGUAUCAAGCUGAAUGUACUGUAAGAAUAAGGAUCGGCUAACUCCGUGCCAGCAGCCGCGGUAAUACGGAGGAUCCAAGCGUUAUCCGGAUUUAUUGGGUUUAAAGGGUGCGUAGGCGGCUUGUUAAGUCAGAGGUGAAAGGCGGUAGCUUAACUAUCGGAGUGCCUUUGAUACUGAUGAGCUUGAAUGCAGCUGAGGUAGGCGGAACGUGACAAGUAGCGGUGAAAUGCAUAGAUAUGUCACAGAACACCGAUUGCGAAGGCAGCUUACUAAAGUGUGAUUGACGCUGAGGCACGAAAGCGUGGGGAUCAAACAGGAUUAGAUACCCUGGUAGUCCACGCCCUAAACGAUGAACACUCGAUGUUGGCGAUAUACGGUCAGCGUCUAAGCGAAAGCGUUAAGUAUUCCACCUGGGGAGUACGCCCGCAAGGGUGAAACUCAAAGGAAUUGACGGGGGCCCGCACAAGCGGAGGAGCAUGUGGUUUAAUUCGAUGAUACGCGAGGAACCUUACCCGGGCUUGAAAGUUAGUGAAUGAGACAGA
rnacentral:rRNA from 1 species